rnacentral:rRNA from 1 species
UGCCCGCAGCACAAGUGGUGGUCAUUAUUAUUGGGCCUAAAGCGUCCGUAGCUGGCCUGUUAGAUGCCUGGGUAAAUCGAUGCGCUCAACGUAUCGAACUCCGGGUAGACCGGCAGGCUUGGGACCGGGAGAGAUGUGAGCUACUCGAGGGGUAGGGGUAAAAUCCUGUAAUCCUUCGGGGAGGACCAGUGGCGAAGGCGUCACAUUAGAACGGCUCCGACAGUGAGGGACGAAGCCCUGGGGCGCAAACCGG